rnacentral:misc_RNA from 1 species
GCUUCUUCUUUCGCCGGUGUUCAGUUCUCUGCUUGGAGAAAUGGCUGAAGAAACAAAGGCAGAGGCUAUUAUCCCUGAAUCUGUGUUGAAGAAAAGGAAGAGAAGUGAGGAGUGGGCUUUGUUAAAGAACCAAGAACUGAAGGCAAAGAAGGAAAAAAAUGCUGAAAAUAGAAAGAUAAUCUUCAAGAGGGCUGAGAAAUAUAGCAAAGAAUAUAGAGAACAGGAAAGAGAGUUGAUAAGAUUGAAAAGA